AUUUUCCCCAUUUCAUAAAAAAAAAAACUUAACCCUUUCUCUCAAACUCUCUCACCCUCUCCCUACUCCGGCCAAGGACCAGUCAUCGUUUGCCACAUGGUGGCCUGAAAUCGAAAAAAGAUCUUUGGAGGUGCAAGCGAUGGGACAGUGGCGUGCUGCAGGCGUGCCCAGUGGAGGGGUAUGGCGCACAUGGGACUAGGGUUUUUUGCUCAGCUAAUGGGAUGUUUAGGUUGUGGGCUUAGGGUUAGUUUGGGUAGUGGACUUAGUUUGGUUUAAGUCUAUUUAGUUUUUAUUUGGGCUAAUGUAAGUGAACUGUUUAAUUAUUUAUUUAUUUUGGUUGUUGGGCUCUUGGCAAAUUUGGGCCUCUACAAAGAGCAUUAAGUUUUAAUCAGCAUUUGCAUUAAAGAUUUAAAAUUGAUGAGAAAAAAUUAGUGAUUUGAAA